UACGUAGGCAGCAAGCGUUGUUCGGAAUUACUGGGCGUAAAGGGCGCGUAGGCGGCUUUGUAAGUUACUUGUGAAAUCUCCGAGCUUAACUCGGAACUGCCAAGUAAUACUGCAGAGCUAGAGUGCAGAAGGGGCAACUGGAAUUCUUGGUGUAGCGGUGAAAUGCGUAGAUAUCAAGAGGAACACCUGAGGCGAAGGCGGGUUGCUGGGCUGACACUGACGCUGAGGCGCGAAAGCUAGGGGAGCAAACAG
rnacentral:rRNA from 1 species